GACGAACGCUGGCGGCGUGCUUAACACAUGCAAGUCGAACGGAAAGGCCCUGCUUUUGUGGGGUGCUCGAGUGGCGAACGGGUGAGUAACACGUGAGUAACCUGCCCUUGACUUUGGGAUAACUUCAGGAAACUGGGGCUAAUACCGGAUAGGAGCUCCUGCUGCAUGGUGGGGGUUGGAAAGUUUCGGCGGUUGGGGAUGGACUCGCGGCUUAUCAGCUUGUUGGUGGGGUAGUGGCUUACCAAGGCUUUGACGGGUAGCCGGCCUGAGAGGGUGACCGGCCACGUUGGGACUGAGAUACGGCCCAGACUCCUACGGGAGGCAGCGGUGGGGAAUAUUGCACAGUGGGCGGAAGCCUGAUGCAGCAACGCCGCGUGCGGGAUGACGGCCUUCGGGUUGUAAACCGCUUUCGCCUGUGACGAAGCGUGAGUGACGGUAAUGGGUAAAGAAGCACCGGCUAACUACGUG
rnacentral:rRNA from 1 species